rnacentral:rRNA from 1 species
UACGUAGGGGGCUAGCGUUGUCCGGAAUCAUUGGGCGUAAAGCGCGUGUAGGCGGCCCGGUAAGUCCGCUGUGAAAGUCGGGGGCUCAACCCUCGAAUGCCGGUGGAUACUGUCGGGCUAGAGUGCGGAAGAGGCGAGUGGAAUUCCGUGGUGUAGCGGUGAAAUGCGCAGAUAUCAGGAGGAACACCAAUGGCGAAGGCAGCUCGCUGGGACGUAACUGACGCUGGAGACGCGAAAGCGUGGGGAGAAACAGG